rnacentral:rRNA from 1 species
UACGUAGGGUGCAAGCGUUGUCCGGAAUUAUUGGGCGUAAAGAGCUCGUAGGCGGUCUGUCGCGUCGAAUGUGAAAACCCGGGGCUCAACCCCGGGCCUGCAUUCGAUACGGGCAGACUAGAGUUCGGUAGGGGAGUCUGGAAUUCCUGGUGUAGCGGUGAAAUGCGCAGAUAUCAGGAGGAACACCGGUGGCGAAGGCGCCACUCUGGGCCGAAACUGACGCUGAGGAGCGAAAGCGUGGGUAGCAAACAGG